UUGUUUUGAUGAUUUUUAUUUCCCAGUGACAGAUGACUGGCCCACAGGAAAACAAUUAGAGAUUUGUUGAACUGAACAA